GUGUCCUACGGGGCGCAGCAGUAGGGAAUCUUCCACAAUGGGCGAAAGCCUGAUGGAGCAACGCCGCGUGGGUGAAGAAGGUCUUCGGAUCGUAAAACCCUGUUGUUAGAGAAGAAAGUGCGUGAGAGUAACUGUUCACGUUUCGACGGUAUCUAACCAGAAAGCCACGGCUAACUACGUGCCAGCAGCCGCGGUAAUACGUAGGUGGCAAGCGUUAUCCGGAUUUAUUGGGCGUAAAGGGUGCGUAGGCGGCCUGCUAAGUCUGGAGUGAAAGGCACCGGCUCAACCGGUACA
rnacentral:rRNA from 1 species